UCAGGCACCGCCUAAAUUUCUUUCCCACGUUCUCCAUCUUCCUUCCUUUGCCCUACCACGACUUCCACAGUUAAGAUCGAGUUCCCAAUCGAAUUCAAUUCAGUCCAACUUGACUCAAACCGAAAUUUCCCUAAUCCAAAAUUACAGAGUUCACUUCAAUCCAAAUCCAUAGCUUUUCGUACUUUCAAUUCUUCUCCGGCGAACGUUUCUGGGCGGCAACGUAUUUCUGGCGGACAUAUUUCCCGGCUGUGUGUGGUUGAAUUAUCAAUUAUAAUAAACUGUGUUUAUUAUUGGUUGAAGUUGUGGUUCCUCAAAUGCUCGGGUUAACCAGAGUGCAAAAUCAGUCGAGAAGCGGUAGAUCUUUGCCUGUUGCAGACAUGGAUUUUGCUGAUCCAAAGUGGAAGGGUAAUGUCAUAGGUAAAAUCGUCUUAGCUGCUGGGUUAAUUGCAUUUUGCCUUAUUAUGAUCUAGCAGUCGCCAACUUUCAACAGCCCGAUCCAAGUAUGUUUACUACCAUAACCUUUCAUUUAUAUCUCGCUAUUAGAGGCUUUGUUUACUCCAGUUUACUUCUUAGCUCAAAUCUUAUUAUAUCUCUUAUGGUACCUCAUGAUUGGUAAAGCAUGUUGCUCCGUCACUUCUCAGUUGGUUUUAAUGAUUACGUGUCUGCUGAUGAUUAUGUAAUGAGGUGACAAUAAUAGGAUGGAAGGGAUUUUACUUUCACACCUGACAAUUAGAGGAUUCUAAGAACUGAACUUGGAAACUAAAAGUUGUUGCUUUUCAUAUCAGGCCUGAUCACUAGGUUUGAAUUUUGUUGCAUCUGACUUUGGAAACAUUGGGUAAUAGAGGGUAUGUUACAAAAGUUAUGCUUUUAUCUAGAAGCAUAUGUUUCCCUGUUCUUGUCUGCAUAAUUCUUUGUACUUCGUACCUGCAGAGGUUUAGUUUUCAUCUUUUGUGGGUUUUUCAGAUUUUGUCUGCCCUCCUUUUUGCUGAUAUUAUGCAUGCAGUUUAGAACUGUAUGUUUUCCUACAUGUUUGCAGCUUUAUCCGCCUUUACCUUGUCUGGCUUUGUGUAUCUCCCUCUAGCCUCUUUUUUUUCUAUAACUAUUGUUUCCAUUGGUAACGUUUAAUAAGACAUUUCAAUAAGCAUUUGUGCUACAGAACACUGAAGUCCUCCUUGGAAAACAAGUGGACAUUUAAUUACUUCAUAGUUGAUAGGAUAAUUGACAUGCUUUUCCACAUAAAAGAUGUGCCAUUGGCAAAGAGUUAUUCUUCUCUUGAAGUUAAAAGAAGAUUUCACGUCUUAAGAUGUUGGAAGUCAAAGUAUCUGCUUUAUAUAUGCUUGAGCAUGGUGUUCAACUAUUUACCAUGGCUUCAUCUAUGUGUUACUUUUCUUUACUUAGUUGGCCAUGUGGGAGUCUCUGGGAUCUUCUUCAUGGUAAUUUAUUCUCUGAAUGACAAGCUUUAACUAGAUAUCUGUCACGUCUCAUUUUUUCUAUAACAAGCUCCGUGUGACAAGUUUCUACUUUGUGUGUAUUAUUAGUUAGUAUUGUUAUGAGUGGCUAGAGAGUUCCACUAAAAACUUGUGUUUCCCACUUUAUGAGUUUUUUUGCUACAACUUUCUCCUUUUUCGUUUCCUCUAUGCUAGUCUGACAGUGAUUUUCUCCAUCAUUUUGCACUAGACUCUGGCUAUGAUUUUUUUGUUAUUGAUUUGGAACACGGUUAUGGUGGGAUAUCCGAGGCUCUGUCUUGCCUCAACACCCUCGUUGCUUCUCAAACUCCGGCUAUUCUCCGAUUGCCUGAGUGCUCUGCUGUGUGGGCUAAGAAGGCCCUGGAUUUGGG